AGGUAGGAACUAUAGGGACUGUAGGUAGGUAGGGACUGUAGGGACUGUAGGUAGGUAGUGACUGUAGGUAGGUAGGAACUGUAGGGACUGUAGGUAGGUAGGGGCUGUAGGGACUGUAGGUAGGUAGGGACUGUAGGUAGGUAGGUACUGUAGGGACUGUAGGUAGGUAGUGACUGUAGGGAAUGUAGGUAGGUAGGGACUGUAGGGACUGUAGGUAGGUAGUGACUGUAGGUAGGUAGUGACUGUAGGGAAUGUAGGUAGGUAGGGACUGUAGGUAGGUAGGGACUAUAGGGACUGUAGGUAGAUAGUGACUGUAGGGACUGUAGGUAGAUAGUGACUGUAGCGACUGUAGGUAGGUAGUGACUGUAGGUAGGUAGGGACUGUAGGUAGAUAGUGACUGUAGGGACUGUAGGUAGAUAGUGACUGUAGCGACUGUAGGUAGGUAGUGACUGUAGGUAGGUAGGGACUGUAGGGAUUGUAGGUAGGUAGGGACUGUAGGUAGGUAGUGACUGUAGGGACUGUAGGGACUGUAGGUAGGUAGGGACUGCAGGGACUGUAGGUAGGUAGGGACUGUAGGGACUGUAGGUAGGUAGGUACUGUAGGUAGG
ensembl:lncRNA